GAUGAAGAACGUAGCGAAAUGCGAUACGUAAUGUGAAUUGCAGAAUUCAGUGAAUCAUCGAAUCUUUGAACGCACAUUGCGCCUGCCAGCACUCUGGCAGGCAUGCCUGUUCGAGCGUCAUUUCAACCAUCAAGCCCUAGGCUUGCGUUGGAGCCCUGCGGCUGCCGCAGGCCCCUAAAAGCAGUGGCGGGCUCGCUAUCACACCGAGUGCAGUAGAUUACUCUUCGCUCAGGGCGUGUGGCGGGUUCCAGCCGUGAAACCCCCUACUUCUCAAGGUUGACCUCGGAUCAGGUAGGAAUACCCGCUGAACUUAAGCAUAUCGAUAAGCGGAGGA
rnacentral:misc_RNA from 1 species